GGAGAGAUGGCUGAGUGGUCUAAAGCGGCUGGUUGCUAACUUGUUGUAGGUUGUAAAAAUUUACCGAGGGUUCGAAUCCCUCUCUCUCCG
rnacentral:tRNA from 1 species